ensembl:lncRNA
UAUCAAUCCUUGGACAGGGAACAGUUUCCAAACCUUUUUGCUAAUGCACAGAAGUGGAUCUCCAUGUUUGGAAGCACUUACAUUUGUGAACAGAUGUUUUCCUUGAUGAAGCUGAAUAAAUCUCCCCUGCGGACUAGACUAACUGAUGAGAACCUACAGGCAGUGCUCAGACUUGCAACCACCUCACUGGAGCCUGACAUUAAUCAGGUUGUGUCAGAACGGCGCUGCAAUAUCUCCCAUUGACCAAGAUAUUUCUUGUAAGUAGCUGAUAUUAUGCAAUAGUAGCAUAGUGAAACAAUGUAUUCCAAAUUUGUGUGGAGACACCUGUAAAAAUGUGUGGCCCUCUGGUCUAGGUGUUAAUGUGAAAUUGGCCCUUGGUUAAAAGAAGUUGUGCACCCCUGCUGUAAGGUGAUGAUAUUGUUAAUAGGUCAUCCCAGAGAGGACUGUGAUUAACUAGUUAGGGUUACAAAGAUAUUUUUAUGUACACUGCUACACGGUGAUCUCUUCUAACUCUUAGGGGCUGUGGUCUGUUUUCUCAGACUGUUGGAAACCCACUUCCUCCAUCUGCACUUCCUAGUGUACUCAGAAGAAGAUCUUACACAAGGCUACAACUGUAAAAUACCCUUUUUAAUUUGAUUUAAUCACUCUGGGAACAGUGUUGAUAUGGCGGUUCUUCAGGCUGGGAUUCUGCAUCUGGCUCCUUGUAUCCUGAUGAUUCUCCUGACCUGUGGAGACUUAACCGAGGCAUAUAAGCUUAAAAUACUUCACUGGAUCAACAAAACUGCUGAUCAGGGUGAAACUGUUGUUUUAUACUGUAAUGGAAGUGUGGAUAGUGGAGAAGAUUUUGUUUGGCAUAAGAAUGGGAAUGCUCUUUUUAUCUACAGCCCCUUUAUUAACCAAACUGUAACAAACUACACAUCAAGCAGGAUGAGUGUAGAUCCCAGUGAUCCACGGAAACUACAGAUAUCUAACGUUCAGCCUUCAGACGCAGGAACCUAUCUAUGCUUCCCAUCAAGAAUUCAAUGGAUUCUGACCAUAAAAGAUUUUACCAAGGCAAAUAUUUUUAAACCAUUUCCCUGGAUCAACAAAACUGCUGAUCAGGGUGAAACUGUUGUUUUACACUGUAAGGGAAGUUAUGAUAGUGGAGAAGAUUUUGUUUGGCGUAAGGAUGGGAAUCUUCUUUUCGUCUACAGCCCCUUAAUUAACCAAACUGUAACAAACUACACAUCAAGCAGGAUGAGUGUAGAUCCCAGUGAUCCACGGAAACUACAGAUAUCUAACGUUCAGCCUUCAGAUGCAGGAACCUAUUCCUGCUUCCCAUCAAGAAUUCUAUGGAUUCUGACCAUAAAAGGAAUAUCUGUGCCUGCGUCACACAAAAGCACUAUUUUUAUCAUUGUCCGCUCAGUUGGAGGAGCUGUUGCAGUGGGCCUGUUGAUCUUCUGUGCUGUUUGGAUUCCUAGGAAAUGUAAGAAGUGUGGGGGCUCUGCUCAGGGUGGAACAGGGGCUACAGUAUAACAGGCAUGAAUGAAGCUGACAUGGAUCAAUUUCACUGAACCUCCUUAGACUUCAGGGUCUUCAGAUAGCAGGAUCUACAGUGGAUUCUCUGGCCAAUCCUUUCUGAAAACAAGAAAAAA